UACGUAGGGUCCGAGCGUUGUCCGGAUUUAUUGGGCGUAAAGAGCUCGUAGGCGGUUUCGUAAGUCGGAUGUGAAAACUCAGGGCUCAACCCGGAGACGCCAUCCGAUACUGCGAUGACUGGAGUCUGGUAGGGGAUCACGGAAUACUUGGUGUAGCGGUGAAAUGCGCAGAUAUCAGGUGGAACACCGAUGGCGAAGGCAGUGAUCUGGGCCAGUACUGACGCUGAGGAGCGAAAGCGUGGGGAGCAAACAGG
rnacentral:rRNA from 1 species